rnacentral:rRNA from 1 species
UACGUAGGGGCCGAGCGUUGUCCGGAGUUAUUGGGCGUAAAGCGCGCGCAGGCGGCUUCGCGCGUCCGACGUGAAAGCCCCCGGCUUAACCGGGGAGGGUCGUUGGGUACGGCGGAGCUUGAGGGCGGGAGAGGGUGGUGGAAUUCCCGGUGUAGUGGUGAAAUGCGUAGAGAUCGGGAGGAACACCUGUGGCGAAGGCGGCCACCUGGGCCGACCCUGACGCUGAGGCGCGAAGGCGUGGGGAGCGAACGGG